rnacentral:tRNA from 1 species
GGGUGAGUAACUCAGCUGGGAGAGUGUUUGCUCGACAAGCAAAAAGUCGUAGGUUCGAGUCCUAUCUUGCCCACCA